rnacentral:sRNA from 1 species
AGAAGAGAAGGCAUUCCUGAUCCAAAGAGCAUCAGAAGAAAAGUCCAUAUAAACUUGCUUACCUUAUCACAUUAGAGCCUGUUUGUUUGCUGCAGGAGAAAGCAAAGGGCAAGAUAAAACCUGAAGAUACAGAAGAAAGAUGGGAUCAAUAAUAGAACAUGGCUUGGUGAAGAGAAGAGAAACUGAGGCACGAGUGUUGUGUGGUCAAGAUCAUACAGCUAAUAGGUGGCAGUCUGACUCCAAGUCUGUGCUUUUCACUGCUGUGCUAUGCCACUAAAGGUACGAUUAUAUGCAAGACCUGAUGCUAUCAGAAGAGGAUCCGGGGACUAUGCUCUCCAUAUAACAAAGAGAUUAAUAGAAUUUUAUGAAGACUACUUUAAAGUGCCCUAUUCCUUGCCAAAACUAGAUCUUUUAGCUGUGCCUAAGCAUCCGUAUGCUGCUAUGGAGAACUGGGGACUAAGUAUUUUUGUGGAACAAAGAAUACUGCUGGAUCCCAGUGUUUCAUCUAUUUCUUAUUUGCUGGAUGUCACCAUGGUCAUUGUUCAUGAGAUAUGUCACCAGUGGUUUGGUGACCUUGUGACGCCUGUGUG